GGGAUUGCCCUAGUAACGGCGAGUGAAGCGGCAACAGCUCAAAUUUGAAAUCUGGCGUCUUCGGCGUCCGAGUUGUAAUUUGCAGAGGGCGCUUUGGCAUUGGCAGCGGUCCAAGUUCCUUGGAACAGGACGUCACAGAGGGUGAGAAUCCCGUACGUGGUCGCUAGCCUUUACCGUGUAAAGCCCCUUCGACGAGUCGAGUUGUUUGGGAAUGCAGCUCUAAAUGGGAGGUAAAUUUCUUCUAAAGCUAAAUACUGGCCAGAGACCGAUAGCGCACAAGUAGAGUGAUCGAAAGAUGAAAAGCACUUUGGAAAGAGAGUUAAAAAGCACGUGAAAUUGUUGAAAGGGAAGCGCUUGCAGCCAGACUUGCCUGUAGUUGCUCAUCCGGGUUUCUACCCGGUGCACUCUUCUAUAGGCAGGCCAGCAUCAGUUUGGGCGGUUGGAUAAAGGUCUCUGUCAUGUACCUCCUCUCGGGGAGAACUUAUAGGGGAGACGACAUGCAACCAGCCCGGACUGAGGUCCGCGCAUCUGCUAGGAUGCUGGCGUAAUGGCUGUAAGCGGCCCGUCUUGAAACACGGACCAAGGAGUCUAACAUCUAUGCGAGUGUUUGGGUGUCAAGCCCGAACGCGUAAUGAAAGUGAACGGAGGUGGGAACCUUUCGGGGUGCACCAUCGACCGAUCCUGAUGUCUUCGGAUGGAUUUGAGUAAGAGCAUAGCUGUUGGGACCCGAAAGAUGGUGAACUAUGCUUGAAUAGGGUGAAGCCAGAGGAAACUCUGGUGGAGGCUCGCAGCGGUUCUGACGUGCAAAUCGAUCGUCAAAUUUGGGCAUAGGGGCG
rnacentral:rRNA from 1 species